GACAACCAUUCGAUGCGGGUAGCGUACGAAGCAGCCUCCCGGCGCCGGGACCGAGGAGAGCCACUGGAGCAGGUUUAACCGUGACAGCUCGAUCGUCGGCAAUAAACGCACAACGGACGAGCGGGAUUUAAUUAGGCCAAAUGGACAACCGUGGCGCGUGCCAUUUUUUCUACCUCGCCCGUUUUUAUAUGAGACCGGAUGACGUCACCAUGCCCGGAAGACAAAUACACCAUCCGAGGGAGUACUUCCACGCGGACCCGGCGUCCUUCAUCCCGACCAUGUACGGCACCGCCACCACGGCAACGGACUUCACUGGAUUGGGUCGGGUACACGCCCGACGUGGCACUUGGCAGUGGGCUCACGUGUAAGGAAAGGUAUCAAAUGCGCUUAACCAUCAAUUUUUGGCCACUUGAUACAAUUAGUUUGAAGAAGUGUGGUUUUCAAGAAAAUUAACGAAAUGUGUGGUUUUGUGAGAAGACUACCUUGAGAACUGUGAUUUCUUGAUAUUUACACUUUGUUUAAUGCCGCAUUAGGAGAAUAAUUUGAUUCCAAUACUGCCAAAAGUAUCUUCUAAUCUAGGAUUGCUCUAAUUAUAGCAAAUUCAAAAAAAAAACUCUACCUCCUUAAAGUCAAAUUUUGAGAUUCUUUUAAAAAAAAUGCCAUUACAAUGAGUCAAAAGAUGCCACUACAGUUGCUUUUUUCGCAGGGUG
rnacentral:lncRNA from 1 species